rnacentral:rRNA from 1 species
GUUGAACGCUGGCGGCGUGCCUAAUACAUGCAAGUCGAGCGAACGGACGAGAAGCUUGCUUUUCUGAUGUUAGCGGCGGACGGGUGAGUAACACGUGGAUAACCUACCUAUAAGACUGGGAUCACUUCGGGAAACCGGAGCUCAUAUAGGAUAUUAUUUUGAACCGCAUGGUUCAACAGUGAAAGACGGUCUUGCUGUCACUUAUAGAUGGAUCCGCGCUGCAUUAGCUAGUUGGUAAGGUAACGGCUUACCAAGGCAACGAUGCAUAGCCGACCUGAGAGGGUGAUCGGCCACACUGGAACUGAGACACGGUCCAGACUCCUACGGGAGGCAGCAGUAGGGAAUCUUCCGCAAUGGGCGAAAGCCUGACGGAGCAACGCCGCGUGAGUGAUGAAGGUCUUCGGAUCGUAAAGCUCUGUUAGUAGGGAAGAACAUAUGUGUAAGUAACUGUGCACAUCUUGACGUUACCUAAACAGAAAGCCACGGCUAACUACGUG